CACUACUUUUCUAAAGAGUAACAGAUAAAUCAUAACUAUCUACAGCAUCUGAGGGCUUGAAAUGAAGAACCAGUGACAUUUUGGGUAAUUCAAUAUUUAAAUACAGGGAAGCUAUAUAAAGAAUUUCAUUCUUGUUGCAAAACUGUGUUUUUGAAGUAAAUAGUCGGUAUGUCAAUGAGCACAAUUGUUUUUAAGAAUUGCUAACUUGGUGUAUGCAGAGAGCUGUCUGGAAUUACUGAACGAACCUCAGAGAACAUUAGAUAGGGCUUAGCUCCUGCAGUUUGUCCCACUGAGUUUAGUGGUGGCUUUUAGCAUCAUAGAUACAAGUGGGACAUGAAUAGUUAGAGAAUAGUCAGACACUUGUAUAAAACCUGUUUGAUUAUUAGCUUUCUUUUACACAGGGGAGUUCUGCAAAAAUCUUCACUUGCUUUCCAGUUAACCUGCUGAGAUGCCUGCACUCCAGAAACAAACAGUUUAAACUGUGGCAUAUGCUAACAGUGCUUAUGCUUCACUGACUCUGAAAUUGCCAGGGAUGUGGCUGUACUGACCUGCUGUAUCAAUCCAGGCUUUUGUAGCAGCUAAUGCAUUUUUACUAUUCCUGCUCCUAAUGUCGUGUGUUUUUUUUUUUUUUUUUUUUCAGGAAACAAUCAAGUGUGUGGGCGUAAUGAAGUCCACAGGAAGAUUCAUAAUAACUUCCUCGAAAGAUUUUUAAAAAAUAUGUGCUAUGUAGCUGUGGAAGCUUUGUUCUUCUGCCUCUGGGAGUAAAUUGGGAAGUUCAACCAGCAGACUUUACUUUCUCAGAAGACAUAACGGGCAUUGAUAAUGUACUGCAAACUGUAAUUCUGUAGUGUCAUCAGACUGCAGACUGAUGGGAAUCUCUUGGGAUCCACUGACAAGAUCGUAAUAUUUUCUCAAUGAAGUGACUGAUGCGUUUAGUAGAUGCCUUUGAUUUCAAAGGGCAUUUGAUUUUUCUUUAAAGAUGAAAGCAUUUUAGACUUUUGUAAAAAUGAAGUUAAGGACAGAUAAUAACAGUAGAUAAAAUUACUAUUUGUGACAGAUUUAUUGUUUGAAUGUAGGGAAGUCCAUCUUCAGGUGGCCUCCAUGUAACUGCAAAGCAACUAAAUUGAAUUUUCUUAAGUAUAGGUUGCCUGUUUUCUAUGUAUAUGAAUUGAGAGAAAAGUUAGGAUAUUUUAACCCAAAUUUUUAUUUCUUUAUUGGGAUUUUUUAUAUGCUUAGGCAAACUAUCCUUUAAACAGCCCUUUUUAAGAUUUGGAAGAAAGGUGAAAAUUUCAGUUAAUUUUUUCUUAUUGAUUCCCUAAAUGUAAGGGAUUUUCUACUUUGUGGUAAACAAAACAAGGUGACUUUUUUUAAAAGUCACAAAUACUAUUCUUGUUUGUUUUAAUGCGUAUCUGUUUGUUAAAAUGAUUACAUAGUUACUAAAUGAAUACCUUCCCAAAAAAAAGUUUAUCUACAAUUUUAAAAUAUAA
rnacentral:lncRNA from 1 species